AACACAUUAGCCAAAGCACGCAAGUGCAGGAAUGAAUUCACAAGGUGAAAAAGUCAUGUGUUGCUGGGAUGGGACACAGGUCAGGCUCUGUUCGGAUGGGGAGGAAGAGUCUGGGGCUCCCAGAACACUCAAAGCCUUUGGCCUCCAACCAGAACAAAGCCUCACCACUUCCCAAGGCCCUUCUCGGCCCUUCAGAGCCACACGCCCAGCAGGCCGGCAGGGCCUGCAGGAUUGACCGUGCCUGGAGCUGCCCUUGACCCAAGACCGUGCGAAGCUGGCAUGUAAAUAUCCUCAAACCGUCAGGUGGGAACUCUGAGGUGCCCCGUCUAUGCUGCCUUCCAUUGGUCCCCACAGGGAUCGGGCUCUGCCUCACCUGCUUGCUUACCCUCCCUGUGCAGCUGCCGUCCAUUUUCCGUCUCACUCCUCCUCUCCCUACCCCCUUGGGUUUUCCCAGGAUCACCUCUGGAAAAAACUUCCUGCAUUGGAGUCCUUGUUUCUGAGUUUGCCUUGGGGCGAACCAGACUGAGACAAGUACCUACUGUGUGCAAAGCCCCAUGCACAUAGAUGCUCUUGUUAGGGACCCAAGAGGGUCAGCUCCUUGAUGAGCUGCAGGUGGAAACGGACUACACCAGUUGACGUUGCCUCUCAAAAUUAUCUUUAUUUGCAGCAAGAAGGAGAUGGAGGGGAUUAAUUUCCAAAACUGUGCUCUGCUGAACAGCGGUAAACAGUCUCCUUUUACUAGGGCUUGGGAUGAAUAUUCAGAGGGGGAUUUUAAUAUGAUAGUGACGCUAACCAUUGGGCACUUUGUGAUUUCCCCUGCACAGGCAACGUCCUCAAAUGUUUCUUUCCCUGUUCCAGCAUUUCAUCAGUUUCCAAAAGAUGAAACGGAGAGUUCUGCAGAAGCCUCUAGGAGUGUCCAGAGUUCAGGGAGUCAAGGGGUCUUGCCAGUGACAAUCAUGUGUAUCCUUUGUCUUGAGCUCUGGUUCUCUGCUUGUCCAAGGUGGCGUGGAGACAGUCUGUGGCUGGAAGUCGUCAUUGUGGUGGCCACCCAACCCCCAACCCUCACCUGAAGGCCUGGUUACACGCCCAUCUGCUGGGUCUGGAUCUGGGAAGUUUUUCCUCUUCCCGAAACCACAAGCUCUAACAGCUGUAUGAAUCAUGGGCAGGUCCUCCUGAUACAUCGGGUGGUAGGUGGAGCCUGGUACACACUGGGACACCAUGACAGCAGGUUCCAGGCCUUUGCUGGGGGUGAGCAAUGGCCGGCCCAGCUCAAGGAAGCGUCUGAUGGGACCAUAGGUAUAGAGGGUGGGAGACUGAGGCAGGGUGGACAGCUGUGUGUGUGUGUGUGUGUGUGUGUGAGAGAGAGAGAGAGAGAGAGAGAGAGACAGCAGAUGGUGUCACUUUCAACAUGCCCACAUCAAUGCAGUGGGGCAGGCAUCACUGUCCUCAUUUUACAAAUAACUAUUUAAACUCAGGGAAGCGAGUCCAGGGGCCAGUGGCUCAGGGACCCAGCAAGGAAUGGACCCUGCAAAUCACCUUGAGGUGGGGACUAGAGGCCCAGGAGGAAGGGGCUGGCUUUCUGGGGGAGGGGUAGGCAUGGCAGGGCUGCCACUGGGUAAAAGACAGGACCCUGUAGGAAGCCACAGAACGGGAUCUGGACACAAGGCCAGAGAGUCAGAUCCCAUCCUGGCCACUGUAGGCAGCACAGGUGGACAAGUGGGUGAUCUGAUUGCAACAGAAGAUACUGGGCCAGGUAAGUCGGGGGAAAGAGCCCUACACUGGCCUCAGUUUCUCCUUUUGUCACAGGAAAGGCAGCACCCAAGGCCCCUGAGGUCCCUCCAAGUUCUACAGUUCUGGGUCUCUUCCAACCUCUGAGGGUCUUGGUGGCCAGAGGCUACAUGGCACUCUUCAGUAGAAAUAUAACAAAAACCACAAAUGUGAGUCACACGUGUUAUUUCAAAUUUUCUAGUAGCCACAUUCAAAAAUUUUAAAAAGUGACAUAAAUUUUAAUAAUAGAUUUUAUUUAACCAGAUACAGCCGAACUACUAUCAUUUCAAUAUGUAAUCAAUAUAGAAAUUGUUACUGAGGGUUUUUUUUUUAUAAAUUUUUUUUGGGGGGGCAACAAGUCUUUGGAAUCCCACAUGUGUUUCAUACCUGCAGCUGCAGCGGGUUUCAGUUUGGACAAGCCACAUCCACCGAGCGUUAGCUCACAUAUUGGAUGGCAUAGGCAAGGGCUAGUCAGGGGAGUCUGGCUUAAGCAGAUCACCACCUCAGCUACAGCCUGGAGGGGUCAGAUGGAGCGGGCAUGAGUUUUCCUCUCUAGCCUAUGAGGGUCCUUAGGGUCUUUCCCUCGUGGUUGCUCAGGGCAAGCGUGGGCUCCAGGGAGACUGACACGCAUCCAUGAACACAGAGGGAGCGGUGAGGCCGUGGAGGGCCCGAUUCCUGCCCUCAGAGUGUUCUGCACUGGAAAGAGGUGCAUUCCUCCCAGGUCAGGAAUAAACCAGACAGUUGGGGUCAAGAAUUGUGUUCAGAUCUGGGCUGAGCAAAUCAUGUCCUGAGUUCAGGCUUCAGUUUCUUUACCUGGGGAAUAGGUAUAGUAACAGUAUCAUGUCGGGACUAAUUUAAUGCUUAGCCCAGAGAUCAAUACUCCCUUGUGUCCUUGAAGACAAAGGUUAACAGCUCACUUGGGGUUAGGGGCCUAGAGAAAGACCUUUGAGCCCUCUUGUGGUGACUGAGCAAACUGAGACCCAGAAAGAGAGAGGAAGUGAGCCAAUCCAGGCCAUACUGGGGCUGCUGACUCCUUGUCCAGUGCUCUUUCCUCUGCCAGAUUCACUUUUGAAGUUUGGCUUUGACCCACAGUCAGCAACUCUUGGGGCCUGCCUGCGGAAGAUCCCUCCCAGACUAGAUCAAGCUACCCCUCACUUAGGCCAGGACAAUGGGCUCUGGGCCAGAAGCGUGAUUUGCCUCCCAAAUCUGACACUUGCUGGCUGUGUGACGCAAGGCAAAUUGCUCAGCUUCUCUGAGCCUCAGGUUCCAUGUAGCUUACCCUCCCACCAGAAUUGGCUCUGAGGAUGGAAAUCAAGUGUCUGAAGGGGGCUCCUCCCUGCCCCCACAGGCCUGCGGGAAGAGUCUGGCACAGAACUCCAAACUGCAUUUAAUCCACAAUUAGUCCUUUCUGAAGCUUUGGGCAACUGGCUCGUUAUUAUCCCAUUUCCCAGAGGGAGAAAGCUACUGCCUGACAUGCCCCAGGCCCUGGCUCCUCUAGCACUCAUGGGUCUUCUCCUAAGGGCCGGUGAGAUCUGCAGGCCUGAGGGAGGCCGGCUAAUCCCAUGAUGGGGGUCAGGCACUACAGAGGCCCUCUGACCUGGGUGUAUCCCUGCUGUUUGUUCUGGGUCAAUAUCCAGGCUAUGCUCUCUGUCCAGCCCAGCCCUGAUGAUGACUGCCUUCUACUUCAGCUUAAAGCGGGAAUAAAGGGUGGAGUGGGAUGAAGGUCAUGGGCAUAAAGACGGGUGUAUUACUUAUCUAUUGCUAUCUCUAUAUCAAUGAUAACGAAUUACUCCAAAACAUAGCCAUUUAAAAUGGCCAUAAUCAUUUCUUUUUUUAUUUUAAGAAUGUAUUUAUUUAUUUGGCAGAGAGAGAGUGGCAGGCAGAAGGAAAAGCAAGCCCCUCCUCUUCGCAGCCCCCAAGCAAGGAGGCUGAUGCGGGACUCGUCCCACAACCCUGGAAUCAUGACCUGAGCUGAAGGCAGACGCUUAAGUGACUGAGCCUCCCAGGUGCCCAAACGUUUCUUGUCUCCUGGUUUCUAUGGUCAGGAGUUAUGGGGUGUUAUAGCUAGCUUGUUUUGGUUCAGGAUCUCCCACGAGGUUAUGGCUGAGAUGUCAGGACUGCAGUCAUCUGAAAGCUUGAGUGGGGCAGGAGGGUUGGCUUCCAAGCUGCCUUAUGUAUCUGGCCAGUCGGUGCUGGCUAUUGGUACUCCUAACAACAGUUCCUCCUCCACGGGGCACUCUCCAGACAAUAUGGCAGUUGGCUUUCCCAGAGCAAGUGAGCCAAGAGAGCAAGGAAGAUGUGGCAACAUCUUUAUGAUCAAGCCUUGUAAGUCGCACCCCAUCAUUUCUGCAAUAUCCUCUUGGUUACAAAGACCAGCCCUGCUUAGUUUCAGAGGGGACUAAUCAAGGGGGUGAAAACCAGGAGGUAUGGCUCAUUGGGGGCCAUUUUGGGUGGCUACCGCCAGGAGUCAUAAUAAUUACUACUAUCUUCUGAACACUUAUUCUGUGAUGGGCACUGAGUAAGAUAAUCUGUUUUUCAUUGCCUUUUUUUUUUUUUUUUUUACCCAACAACCCAGUGAUGUAGGUACUACUAUCAACCCUGUUUUGCAUUGGAGGAAACUAGCUCAGAGAGGUUAAACCACUUGACUAAAGUCACUCAGCUAGCAAGCAGCCAUGCCAGGUGAGUCUGACCUUAGAGGCCAACUGCUUACCAUCUUCCCAGAGGAAGAGCUUGGAGAGAAAGGAUAGAGAAGAGGUUUGCUCUUGAGAUAAAUGUUGGAAAUCCCAGGAACCUGAAUGCACAGAGAGGAAACCCCUUUUCCAUGGUCCCGAGAAUGUGGCCAGAGUUCCCACGUGCAGACUCCUUCUUAGUGGGGUAAGCCUGGCAUCAAUUUUGGCUGCUGGGAGGAAACCAAUAUGAAACGAUGUCGAUGGGUGCCUGGGUGCUUUAGUUGGUUAAGCAUGCUUGGCUCAGGUUGUGAUCCCCAGGUCCUAGGAUCAAGUUCUGCGUUGGGCUCCCUGCUCCCCCACACCUGCAUGCGCUCUCUCUCUCUCUCUCUCUCUAACAAAUUAGAUCUUAAAUACAUAAAUAAAUAAAACCAUGUGGAUGAUUACGCAUACCCCUACUUAUGCAGAGUACACAGAGUUCACAUGCCUGAAUGGAGAGAGGGAGCACACAGGAUACCUAAUACGCGAUAACAGCUUUUGUAAAUCUGUAAGGGCAACUUGACUCUGAACGAGGUGUAUAGCUUAUACAAGUUAUGUAUACCUUAUACAAGGCUUUCCCAGCUCAAAGCCUUUGUUCAGCCUUUGUUCCCUCCACCUACAAUGCCCCUCAAACCACCAUCAAAGCAGCAAAAAAUCCUCCGUGGAAUCCUGAAGACCGAGUCUGCAGAUGCCUGGGUGGCUCAGUUGGUUGAGCGGCUGCCUUCGGCUCAGGUCAUGAUCCCGGGGUCCUGACAUCAAGCCCCACGUCUGGCUCUCUGCUUAGCAGGGUGCCUGCUUCUCUCUCUGCCUGCCACUCCCUCUGCUUGAGUUCUGUCCCUCUCUGACAAAUAAAUAAAUAGAAUCUUAAAAAAAAAAAAAAAAAAAAAGACCAGUCUAAUCCCAUCUGUGCCUCUUACUAGCUGGGUGGAAUCUGGGGCAGGCGACACCCUUCUGUUGGGCCUCGGUUUCCUUGUCUGUUCUUGGGAAACUUGGCCCUUCUGCCCACCCUGCAGGGUGGUCAUGAGACCCAUGUGAAGGCAAUGCAGAGACCAGUGCUGGAGCCUUGGGAACCAGUGAAGCCACUCGGUUCUCAUCAGCCGGGGGCACUUAGCAGAAGUGCUGCAGAUCCGGGUGGGAAGUGGAGUGUGAGCCCAGAGGGACAAGGCUGGCUGCAAGAGGGAGAGCCGGGGAGUGGCCCAGGCAGCUGGGCUUGGCCUUGGAGCAGAGCACUGUCCUUGCCAGCCUACUGGGACUGCUAAGGAGGACCUGAUUUUCAUUUGUUUAUAACACCUACUGGGUGUUUUUCUGAUCAUGAUAUCGGCGCACUCUCAUCCUGGAAAAUCUGGAAAGUGUAGACAAAAGCACCAUGAGAGUUAUAGAAAUAACCUGUAAUCCUACCAAUACUGUGAGGUUACUCUACAUAUAUAUAUAUGUAAAGUAACCUCACGGUAUAAUAUAUAUAUAUCUCAAUCACAAUUGAGUUCAUCUAUAAUAUACUAUUUUGUUCACUGUUAAAUUCAGGAAUGUUUCUCCAAGUCAUUAAGAGAUGUGUUCUGGGUGCCUGGGUGGCUUAGUUGGUUAGCCAACUGCUUUGGCUCAGAUCAUGAUCCCGAAGUCCUUGGUAUCGAGUCCCGCAUUGGGCUCCUUUGCUCCAUGGGGAGUAUUCUUCUCCCUCUGACCCUCCCCCACUCAUGAUCUCUCUCUCUCUCUAAAAUAAAAUAAAAUAAAAUAAGAGAUGUCUUCUUCUUCCUCUUAAAAAAAAGAAAAAGAGAGAGACGUCUUCUCUAGGGUAGUUGUAAGGAUACAGGAUGUUCUAGGGGAGUAGUUCUAUGCUAUUGACUUAAAUAUCCCCUUCCUGGCAUUCCCGCUUUCUCAGUUGGACAGAGCUAGUUCUACCGGCUCCAAGAACCUCUCAAAAUAGAAAUCUGAGGACUGGGUGCCUGGGUGGCUCAGUCGUGAAGCAUCUGCCUUCAGUUCUGGUCAUGAUCCCAGGGUCCUGAGAUCAAGCCACACAUCAGGCUCCCUGCUCAAUGGGAAGCCUGCUUCUCCCUCUGCCUGUUGCUCCCCCUGCUUGCUCUCCGCCAUCCCCCACCUAUGUCAAAUAAAUAAAUAAAAUCUUAAAAAUAAAUAAAUCUGAAAACUAAAGGAUGUCUGGCCAUGGUGAAGAGCUCCAUUGUUAUGCUAUUUUUUAAAAGAUUUUUAAAAAUUUAUUUGACAGGCAGAGAUCACAAGUAGUCAGAGAGGCAGGCGGGGGUGGGGGGGUGGGGGGGGGAGCGGGCUCCCUGCUGAACAGAGAGCCCGAUGGAGGGCUCGAUCUGAGGACCCUGGGAUCAUGACCUGAGCUGGAGGCAGAGGCUUAACCCACUGAACUCAGGCAUCCCUGUUAUGCUAUUUUUUAAAGGUUUAAUUAUACAAGGACUCUCUGAACAUACUCUCAGUAUAAAAAAAUCUAAACCUUACUGAUUACAUUGAAGCCUCCUGAGGCCCUCCCAAAUAACCCUUGUCACCAGUUUCUGUAUAAUUUGCAGGCAUUUUUCAAUGCAUUUCCGUGUAUCCACAAGAAAUAGAUAUAUAAAUAUAUAAAAUUUUUUAUAUAAUAUGUAUAAAAUAUAAUCUAUAUAAUAGAAAUAGCUAGAGUGCAUGAUUGAAUAUAGUGUAAGAAUUAUUCUGCAACUUACUCUUUUCAUUAGACAAUAUGCAUAAUUUGCAGAUUUGCCUAUCUGAGGAUGUUUUAAUAAACCUUGUCCUUUUUAUUUUUUUAUUUUUUUAAAAAAUUUUAUUUAUUUAUUUGAUAGAGAGAGACACAGCAAGAGAAGGAACACAAGCAGGAGAAGUGUCAGAAGGAGACGAAAGCUUUCCCCUGAGCAGGGAGCCUGAUGUGGGUCUCGAUCCCAGGACCCUGGGACCAUGACCCGAGUUGAAGGCAGACGCUUAAUGCCUGAGCCACCCAGGCACCCCAACCUUGUCAUUGUUAAUUGCUGCAUAGUAUUUUACAAGGUGGAGGGGCCAGCAUUUACUUAACCAACCCACUAGGAAUGGAUAUUUAGGUUGGUUCCAAUUUUUCAUUAUUAUAAACCUUUCAGUGUGGAAAACCUACACACUCCCUUUACACAAAUGUGUGAAUGUUUUUCUCAGGUGGAUCUUAAGAGGUGGGGUCACUGGGUCAUGGGCAGUCUUAACUGAGAGGGAAGGAAACUUCACUCUGACAGAGGAGGGAAUGACUCAAAGUCACACAGCAGGUUUGUGACAGUGUGGAGACAUGACAUUUUGGGUUCUCUUCCUUACAUGUUUUAAGUCAUUCGUGGUCUGAACCGGCCCUCAAGGUCUACACAAUUGUUCAUAAGAACACCUAAAUGUUAUUUGCCUUUUUUGCUCCCAUCCUUUCAUGAGUGUUCAUUAGAGUUUUCCAGAGGCUACAUGAUGUGUGAUGACGUCAUUGCUCUGAAUCUAAGGGAAUGCAUUGGGCUGCUUUUAUCACUGGUGAGGCCAGAAUUUUUCUUCAUGCUAAUUGGCUAUUUUAUUUAUUUAUUUAUUUAUUUAUUGCUUUCUGGUAUCUCUUACCCAUUUUCUAGAAAAGUAUUUUUCUUAUUAAUUUAUAAGUGCUUUUUACAUAUUAAGCACAUUGACCUUUUCUCUCAUAUUGUGGCAUUUUCUCCAGUUUGUAGUUUGCUGCUAUCUUUGACUUUUAACUUUGUGUUAUGUUAUUUCAUUUGGGAGGUUUUUCCUUUGAUUUCUCCAUUGCUUUUAUGCUUAAGUAGUUCAUACCUAUCAUAGAAUAUGUUAGGUGUUUACCUCUGCUUUCUUCUACUUUGUUCCUGCAAUGACCCUAAUCCUUUGUCUGUGGCUUUCUCAGAGAAAGCCAACCAUUGGCUUUCUCAGAGUAGCUUGGGCAGGAAAUGACACAGGCUUGCCCCCCAGUUCUUGGGGUGCUGGAGCUGUAGGAGCAGGUUGACUGGAAGCUCAGUCUCUAAGGAAAAGGAAGCCCAGGUCAGAGACAGCCUCUCCUCAACUUUAGGUUCCAGGAGGUACUAGUCUGAGUCCCAACUAAGAUGGCCAGUGGGCCAACACCUGGACAGAUGGGGGCAGGGUCUGGAAGGGCAGACCUGGGGACAGGAACAGGUACACAUGCUGAGUACCCAGCCUAGACCUCGAGCCUCUAGGCUUCUUCCCCCAGGGGCGCCAGAAGCAUGCCAGGGAAAAGGAACAGUAUGCCACAGGACAGUCUGGGAUUUGGUCUCUCUGUUCUUUGUUGAACCUCCCUGGCUGCCACAAGUGCCCCCUCCUCCUCUCACAGGCAACUUGAAUGGGAGCUGACAAGUUCAUCCAUCUUGACCAGCUGUCCAUGGAGUUUGGGCGCAGCAUGACCGACUUGAUGGCAACCCCAAGCACCUGACCCUGACCAGGAUGGCCAGAGGAUGAGGAGGGAGGGGGGAUGGCCAUGGUGUAGUGCUUGUUCACCAACCCUCACCCACAGAUCAAAUACGGGGGCGAUGUGCCCAAGAGCUACCACCCGCGUAACCAGGUGAGGACACAUUAUGAGCACACGGUGACUGUGGCCAGAGGCUCCUUUGUGCAGGUGGAGAACAAAAUCCUGUUCCUGGGCUGUGUGCUCAGGUAGGGAUGGUGGCCAUGCCAUCCCUGGGCACAGCUGAGAGGGGCCUGGAGCUCAGGCAGGUGGUCAUUUGUGGGGCCCUGUCGCCUGCAGAUGGCAGUUCGCAUCGGAAGGGACAGACAUCGGCCUUGGGAUUUUCCUGAAUACCAGGAUGUGUGAACAGAAGCAGGAAGGGGACAUGGUGGAGGUGUUGCCCAUCCAACGCUGCAAAGCCCAUGUGGUCCCUGAGGACGGGAGCCUCACCUGCCUCAAGGCCAGCAUCUGGAAAUAUCGGCAGGAAACAGCUGCACUUGGACCUGGGGGCUGGGGGCUGGAGUCCUGAUGUGCAUCCACGUUUUACCAUGUGGGGGCUCUUGGCACCAGCAGACAGGAUGUGUAACUGGCUUCGGGCUCUCAGGCAGGACAAUGGCUCCCUGGUCCUGGCACAAGAACUUACACCAUGGAGGGUGAGGUCCUGGGUGGGGCAUCCCGUCUGAAAAUCUGUCCCUUGAUGGAGAUGUCCUGAGGUUUGACAACAUCUACAGCCUAGUUCAUUCCAAACAUAUCAGCUCCACUGUAGAUGUUCUACGCAUGGACCAAAUCUUUGUGGAGAAGACGAAGAGAUUCUAGGCAAGCCUUGUGGCUCCCAUAGCCUCCCCUUUGAUCUCUAGGACCACAAUGAAUUCAUAGCCUUCCCUGGCCAGACUCCCUCCAACCUCCCUAGGAAUGGGAAUCCUACGACAGCUGCUCCCAGCCCAGUUGUCACAGUGGGUCUGCAUCUUAGGAACUACUAGGACUGUGUCCCAGGGGUGGCCAGACAGCCACAGCAAAGCAAACAAAACAUGAAAGACUGAAGGCAGUCAUCCCUGGGAUCCCAUUUUUUAAGGGCUCACCAAGCACCCCUUCUCAACAAUCUAUUCCAGAAUCUUGAUAGCAAGUUUUUUCAACCGAUUCCCAAAUUCAGUGCCUGGUUCCUAUCAUCCUCUAUGGUUCUACCAUGGUAUCUUGCCCAGAUGGCACCAAGGUGCUGGGGCCAACUGGUAGGGGGAGUUUAGUUGGAGAAGUGCCACAUGGGAGGAGAGGGCAUUGGAGAGCCAUGUCAAGGAUGGAGGGAUUUCCCUGGCUUGGGUUGCCUUGACCCCAUGAUCUGCCAUAUCCCACCCACCGUUCCAUCUGUUUCUAGCAACUGCCCUUGCUACAGUCUUCUGGAGACAUGGGCUGAAGACCAGAGCUGUUGGCCAGAUAACGGACAUGUUCACAGCUGUCCCCAUCUGCCUCCUCUCCUACAAAGCCUUCACUCUGAGCCCACAGUCCCCUGCCCCAAAUCUUUGUCUUUGCUCACGCUGUUCCCUCACAUAGAAGGCAUGCUUUUCUUCCCUCUGUACAAAGUUUCUCUCCAGCAAGCAGUGCUGAGUCACAGUGAGGGCAAGUACUUGGUGUGUCAUUUACACCCAUGAGAUUCUCUCUUUCUACUGAAUAAUCCCGAGAGCUUCAACAAACCUUUACAGUUCUAGGACCACUGCCACAAUCAGGACGCACAACAACUCCAUCUCCCCCCCCAAAUUCCCUCCUGCGGGCCCUUUGUCAUCCAUCCUUCCCCUACCCCAGCCCUGACAACCACUGAUCUGUUUUCUAAUGCUGCAGUUGACUUUUCCGAAAAUGCCAAAUUAUACGGUAUGUGAUCUUUCGGAUCUGGCUUUCUUCUUUUGGCAUGACGCCUCUGAGAACCAUCUGUGUUGUUGCCUGUGUUAGUGGUUGGCUCCUUCUUGUGGCUGAGUGGUGUUCCAUUGCGUGGAAGCACUGUGUUGUGUUUAUCCAUUUCCCCGGUGGAAGGUUAGCUGGGUUGUUUCCAGUUUGAGGCAAUUACUAAUAAAGCCGCUAUAUGAAUACAUGA